CAUGUCAUAACACAUCAUAAAUCUCACCUACUGUCUUGUCACGUGCUCAGUCAUACAUGAUCCCUGUCAACCUAGAAUAGAACCAGUCAUCAAGAAAAAUGUAAUGCUUCUUAUGCUGCACAUGUCGAAGUGCUGGGCUACAGAACUUGGAAGAAUUUCACCACUGAAUAUGGCCCUAAUAGUACUUUUACUCCCAGGUGGUAUAAAUUAUCUGUUUUCCUGCUAAUACCUCAUUAGCUGAAUGCUAGCAAGGUUUGUGCUCUGCUUUCCAAUCAAGGGUGAUUUUCUUCAUGGCAGGCUGGUGGGCUGUAGCCUUUUCUCUAGAAACCUGGUCCUUUAAAAAUCUUAAGACUUGGCUGUAGUCUCUACACUUACUAUUCUCCAUUACUAUCCUUAUCUGACUGCUUUCUUAGACUUUUCUUUUAAAAAUCUUGCCUUCAUGGUUACUUUUUUUUUCUUUUUCUCCUUCUUUCUUGUACUGACUUUUCAGUACCUACUUCAACCUUAUUAUUAUUAAAUCUUUUUAUCUUCUUAUAUACCUUGGCUCUAACUUGUUUUCCUCUGCCUCUGGGGCCCACGGCAUGUUUCCAUCCCAGCAGUGUUGCUGGCCUUGAAACUUUUCUUAGACUCCAGCUCUAGUGCCGCCAGCUUGGCCACGUAGAGCCUACUUCAUGUUUUAACUUCUGUACUAAACCAGACCUCCCCACACCACCAGCUUUGUUUGCUGUCUGUUCAUCAGUACCACAGCUGCAAGAGAAAAAUGGUUCACUGCUUUCAGCUCUUGUGCUUGUUGCUAGAGCAUCUUCCAUGUGAAUGAGAAAACACAUCGGUCCCAAUGCUGAGAACUUGUGAAGAGGACAUCUCAUCAUUAAGGCUGUGGUGAUGCAAGCUGGGAAGGAUAGUCUGUUGAAUCUCAACUGAUUGUGGGCCUUACAGUCUUCAAUAUUAAAGACAGCUGCUCAGAUGAAAAUACCUGCAAGGAGCAACAUUACAGCUACAAGGCCUAUCUACAGGGAGCAGCAUAAAGAGCCUGAAGACCAUCUGCUCCAUAAAAGCAGCAUUCUGGAUAUGCACAUAAAUGGCACAUGUUAACAACAAACCUCUUAUUGUGUUCAAACCACAGACCUGCAUAACAUAGGACCAAAAGCUUGUCUCUGGUACUGUCUGCUGCACCUGUGGGCACCUCCAACAGCUGCAGUAUGGGCAGCAUGGCAGAAGAGCCAAAAACCAAACAAACAGAAACAAAACAAAAAAAAAAACAAGGGGAACUUGAUGUUGCUCCUCUGCAUUUCUACUUUGCAUACCAUACAGCAAGCUAUGAUUGAACCUGUUCUGAAGUGCAAGUACAUCCAAAGCUACUUUAAUCUCUGAUAUGACCUUAAAUAACUACAGACAAGACUUAAACAUGCAUGAGUUCUAGCCUUAAAAUUUUAAAAUGCUGUUGUGACAAAAAGAUACUUUCUUUAUAGAAAGAGUAUGGUAAAGAGAGCACGAAUAAAGCACGAAGUCAUGAUGUUUGGAGGUGACCUACAUAUAUAAACCAACUAAAGGUUAGUUUUGAGGGAUUCUGUGGUAUUAAUGUUGAAAAAUAUCUUUAUACUGUGCUAUAACAAUAUAUAUUCUGGAUAAGUCACUGAUGUCUCUCUCAUAGACAUAUUUAGAAAAAAACUUCAUCCUGAUAUAAUGAGCAAGGUGAAAGAAAUAUUUGGUAAUGACUGCAUCCUGAGGAUACUCAUACUAGAUUUAUUUGUGAGCACUAGACCCACAGCGCUUUUGGUUUGUGUUAAUUUAGCAUCAAGAUGAUAGGUUUCCAUACAUAAUGUAAAGAAAGGCUCUCAGGGAAAAAAACAGAGUAAGAUGAGAAGUCCCACUGCUGUCUGUACUGGGCUAGUGCAAGUGGCUUUAAGCUUUUCUGUACUUCUGGGAUGUUUUAUUCCAAGGGAGUUAAUAAACUGUGGUGAGUUUUGCUGAGAUGUUUUGCUGACAAACUUGCUUACUCCUUUGGUCUGUGUUCUGGUGAGAGGUGAAGUGUUCGACAUGUAUGUUAGAGUUAACAGGGGCUUGAUGUACGGAUGAUGUAACUGUAAGUGCUGCUUCCUCUAUGGGGUUAGUCAGAAGUCUUCCUGGGAUUUCAGCACAAGUGCCUGUUGUCUUUCUGUAGUCCUCUUUCUUGGUUGUUGUGCACAUUUAUGGUUAGUUCUGAUGUGGAUGCAAUUUACAGGAAGCACAGUGUGGAUUGAAAAAUGUGCUUUUUUACUGCUUGAAGCUUCUGUU